rnacentral:rRNA from 1 species
UGCCUAAUACAUGCAAGUCGAACGGAUCCGUCGCAAGACGGGUCAGUGGCGAACGGGUGAGGAAUUCAUGGAUAACGUGCCCCGGACUCAGGGAUAGCGUUGUGAAAGCGACGGUAAUACCUGAUGACCCCGUAGCACCAUAUGGUGCAGCGGGCAAAGCUCCGACGGUCCGGGAUCGGUUCAUGUCCUAUCAGCUUGUUGGUGAGGUAACGGCCCACCAAGGCAACGACGGGUACCGGGCGUGAGAGCGUGUCCCGGCACAUCGGAACUGAGAUACUGUCCGGACACCUACGGGUGGCUGCAGCAACGAAUAUUCCGCAAUGGACGCAAGUCUGACGGAGCGACGCCGCGUGCAGGAAGAAGUCCUUCGGGAUGUAAACUGCUGUCAGGGGUGAGGAAAUUUGACCAACCCCAUAGGAAGCCACGGCUAACUCCGUGCCAGCAGCCGCGGUAAUACGUAGGAGGCGAGCGUUGUUCGGAAUCAUUGGGCUUAAAGAGCGUGUAGGCGGGGUGGCAAGUGUCGGGUGAAAGCCCUCGGCUCAACCGAGGAACGGCCCGGCAAACUGCCACUCUUGAGGUAGACAGAGGUCACUGGAACGACUGGUGGAGCGGUGAAAUGCGUAGAUAUCAGUUGGAACGCCGGUGGCGAAAGCGGGUCGCUGGACCUGCCCUGACGCUGAGACGCGAAAGCGUGGGUAGCGAAGAGGAUUAGAUACCCUCGUAGUCCACGCCGUAAACGAUGCGCACUAGGUAUGAGAGGUUCUGACGCCGAUCGUGCCGAAGCUAAAGUGAUAAGUGCGCCGCCUGGGGAGUACGGCCGCAAGGCUAAAACUCAAAGGAAUUGACGGGGGCUCACACAAGCGGUGGAGCAUGUGGAUUAAUUCGAAACAACGCGAAGAACCUUACCUGGGUUUGACAUGCUUGGAUGCCCUCUUGGAAACAGGAGUAGGCUGCCUUCGGGUGAAACUUGCACAGGUGCUGCAUGGCUGUCGUCAGCUCGUGCUGUGAAGUGUUGGGUUAAGUCCCGUAACGAGCGAAACCCUUAUCGUUAGUUGCCAGCGGGUCAUGCCGGGGACUCUAGCGAGACUGCCGGUGUUAAACCGGAGGAAGGUGGGGAUGACGUCAAGUCCUCAUGGCCUUUACGCCCAGGGUGUCACACGUGCUACAAUGGGGUGAACAGAGCGAAGCGAGCCGGCGACGGGGAGCAAAUCGCAGAAAUCACCUCUCAGUUCGGAUUGGAGUCUGCAAUUCGACUCCAUGAAGUUGGAAUCGCUAGUAAUCGCGUAUCAGCCACGACGCGGUGAAUAUGUUCCUGAGCCUUGUACACACUGCCCGUCACA